rnacentral:ncRNA from 1 species
GACUCUGGAGAGAAGUGUUCAAUCACUCACCGAAGGGGAAGGUGGCCGCAUUGAUGUGCAAUGCAUCUACCGAAGCUCUCAGGUACACAUGACAGAUGGGAAA